ensembl:misc_RNA Metazoa_SRP Metazoan signal recognition particle RNA
GCUGGGCAUAAUGGCUCAUGCCUGUAGUCCUAACUACUCAGGAAGCUGAGGCGGGAGGAUCAUUUGAGCCCAGGAGGUUGAGGCUGCAGUGAGCCAUGAUUGCACCACUGCACUCCAGCCUGUGCAACAGAGUGAGACCCCGUCUCAA